rnacentral:rRNA from 1 species
AUUGAACGCUGGCGGUAUGCUUAACACAUGCAAGUCGAACGGUAACAGGCCUUCGGGCGCUGACGAGUGGCGGACGGGUGAGUAACGCGUAGGAAUCUGCCUCGUAGUGGGGGACAACGUGUGGAAACGCACGCUAAUACCGCAUACGCCCUACGGGGGAAAGCGGGGGACCUUCGGGCCUCGCGCUAUGAGAUGAGCCUGCGUUAGAUUAGCUAGUUGGUAGGGUAAAGGCCUACCAAGGCGACGAUCUAUAGCUGGUCUGAGAGGACGAUCAGCCACACUGGGACUGAGACACGGCCCAGACUCCUACGGGAGGCAGCAGUGGGGAAUAUUGGACAAUGGGCGCAAGCCUGAUCCAGCAAUACCGCGUGUGUGAAGAAGGCCCUAGGGUUGUAAAGCACUUUCAAUAGGGAGGAAAACCUGUCGGUCAAUACCCGGCAGCUUGACAUUACCUAUACAAGAAGCACCGGCUAACUCCGUGCCAGCCGCCGCCGUAAGAC